AGAAUCAACGCUGGCGGCGUGCCUAACACAUGCAAGUCGCACGAGAAAGGGUAGCAAUCCAUGAGUACAGUGGCGACCGGGUGAGUAACACGUGACUACCUACCCUUGAGUGGGGGAUAACCUCGGGAAACCGAGGCUAAUACCGCAUAAUAUCGAGAGAUCAAAGGAGCAAUUCGCUUUUGGAGGGGGUCGCGGCUGAUUAGCUAGUUGGCGGGGUAAUGGCCCACCAAGGCGAAGAUCGGUA
rnacentral:rRNA from 1 species